rnacentral:rRNA from 1 species
UACGUAGGGUGCGAGCGUUGUCCGGAAUUAUUGGGCGUAAAGAGCUCGUAGGCGGCCUGUCGCGUCUGCUGUGAAAUCCCGGGGCUUAACCCCGGGCGUGCAGUGGAUACGGGCUGGCUGGAGGCAGGCAGGGGAGAACGGAAUUCCCGGUGUAGCGGUGAAAUGCGCAGAUAUCGGGAGGAACACCGGUGGCGAAGGCGGUUCUCUGGGCCUGUUCUGACGCUGAGGAGCGAAAGCGUGGGGGAGCAAACAGG